GAUGAACGCUGGCGGUGUGCCUAAUACAUGCAAGUCGAGCGAACAGACGAGGAGCUUGCUCUUCUGACGUUAGCGGCGGACGGGUGAGUAACACGUGGAUAACCUACUUCUAAUACUGGGAUAAUUUCGUGAAACCGCAGCCAAUACCGGAUAAUAUAUUCUACCGCAUGAAUCAAUAGUGAAAGACGGCUUUCCCGUCUCAUUUAGAUGGAUUCGCGCCGCAUUAGCUAGUUGGUAAGGUAACGGCUUACCAAGGCAACGAUGCGUAGCCGACCUGAGAGGGUGAUCAGCCACACUGGAACUGAGACACGGUCCAGACUCCUACGGGAGGCAGCAGUAGGGAAUCUUCCGCAAUGGGCGAAAGCCUGACGGAGCAACACCGCGUGAGUGAUGAAGGUCUUCGGGUCGUAAAACUCUGUUAUUAGGAAAGAACAAAAGUGUAAGUAACUAUGCACGUCUUGACGGUACCUAAACAGAAAGCCACGGCUAACUACGUG
rnacentral:rRNA from 1 species